rnacentral:lncRNA from 1 species
UUUAAAAACGAAAAUUUGAACAAGUGAUAGGUGUUUGAGGGAGAGAAUGGAUGGAGAGAUAUGGGAAUAAAUGGAAAGGGUUACAAGGCAGAAAAAGGGAGAGGAAUUGGACGGCCUUCUAGGGGACUAUGGUGUUAAACUAAAAACCUUCCUAAGGAAAUAUGUGUUGUUGUUUCUAGUGUGUGGAUAAACUUUGUGUGGGUAUGUGGCCAGCUGGUGGUUGGAAAGUGUGAAAAUGGUGUACCUAAUCUACCGUAUUAUUAACAAUUGUGUAUUGCAUUUGUAUGUUGUAUGUUGUGUUAAUAGUUAUGUGUAUGUGAGUGGUCAAAUAUGGGUUAGAUUUCACAUCAUUUCCUUGUCACAUUGUCUGUUGAUUUUCUUUACUGUGUAAUGCAUUAACCUGAUGUAGGUUAUUAAAUGUGUUACAUAAGUGGAUGGCCAACUUGUGGUCGGAAUGAGUGUGACACUGGGAUAUUGAAUAUACUACUGCCUAUUUACUAAUCUGGACAAACCGUCUAUAAAACUGAAUGUUGUGAUGGGUUGUGUGAGUGGCCGAACAACGAUCAUCUAUGUAAGAGACUAAAAUGACAUCGUUCUGGGAGACCCCAAAAUGGCACCGUUUUAGGCAAAAACAAAUAGAGGCAUGUUUACCUCUGGUCAGGAAAGAUGAAGAGGCAAAAGUGUGUAUGCCUCUACCACCGGCCGAAAAGAAAAAAGAUGAGACCUGCACGUCAAGGAAGAAGGGUCAUGUAGGACUCUUUCUUCCCUUCCCUAUAAAACGCAAAGAGAGGGAAGGAAAUCGGUGCAGGAAGAGAGAGAGAAAUAUAGAGAGAGAGAGAGAGGAAUAUAGAGAGAAGGGCUAUGGUUACCAUCAAUUUGCAACCGAGAGAGGAGAGGAAGAAGAAAAAAAAAGGCAGAGGAGAGGCUAGUGCUACGCGCAAUGGUGCACAUGAGAAGAAGAUGACCUGUGCAGCAACUUGACGUGUGUUUUGUUGUUCUGCUGCUCCCUUCAGCGCGAUUCCACUAGAUCUGUGUCAGAUAUGAGGGCGCGAAGUGUUUUAUGGUGAAUUUCGGCCAAUCCAUAGCGAUGAUUGGUGGCGAACGGCAGCGGCGCAUGGCGAUCUGGUGGAGGUGCGUAUGGAGGCACGCGGACUUCUGAUGGUUUUACGCAGUGAGUCCUUGGAACCCAGUUCGAGUAAGUGAGUUCAAAAAACCCUAAUGGUUUACUGUUUUACAUUUAGGGUUAAUUAAUCCUAUUUAAUUUUAAUGCAAUAAAUUGUUUAUCCAGUUUAGAAUUAGGGAUAAGUCUAGACACGGAUGUUUGAAAUUAGGGGAUAACCAAUUC